GAUGAACGUUGGCGGUGUGCCUAAUACAUGCAAGUCGAACGGCAGCACGGGAGCAAUCCUGGUGGCGAGUGGCGAACGGGUGAGUAAUGUAUCGGAACGUGCCCAGUCGUGGGGGAUAACGUAGCGAAAGCUACGCUAAUACCGCAUACGAUCUGUGGAUGAAAGCGGGGGACCGUAAGGCCUCGCGCGAUUGGAGCGGCCGAUAUCAGAUUAGGUAGUUGGUGGGGUAAAGGCCUACCAAGCCGACGAUCUGUAGCUGGUCUGAGAGGACGACCAGCCACACUGGGACUGAGACACGGCCCAGACUCCUACGGGAGGCAGCAGUGGGGAAUUUUGGACAAUGGGCGCAAGCCUGAUCCAGCAAUGCCGCGUGCAGGAUGAAGGCCUUCGGGUUGUAAACUGCUUUUGUACGGAGCGAAAAGGCUCUCUCUAAUACAGGGGGCUCAUGACGGUACCGUAAGAAUAAGCACCGGCUAACUACGUGCCAGCCGCCGCCGUAAUAC
rnacentral:rRNA from 1 species